rnacentral:rRNA from 1 species
CAGGCCUAACACAUGCAAGUCGAGCGCUUGGGGUGUUCCCUUACGGGAAACCCCCUGGAGCGGCGGACGGGUGAGUAACACGUAGGCAACCUGCCUGUAAGAUCGGGAUAACUACCGGAAACGGUAGCUAAGACCGGAUAGCUGGUUUCUCCGCAUGGAGGGAUCAUGAAACAUGGGGCAACCUAUGGCUUACGGAUGGGCCUGCGGCGCAUUAGCUAGUUGGUGGGGUAACGGCCCACCAAGGCGACGAUGCGUAGCCGACCUGAGAGGGUGAUCGGCCACACUGGGACUGAGACACGGCCCAGACUCCUACGGGAGGCAGCAGUAGGGAAUCUUCCGCAAUGGGCGCAAGCCUGACGGAGCAACGCCGCGUGAGUGAUGAAGGUUUUCGGAUCGUAAAGCUCUGUUGCCAAGGAAGAACGCCUCGGAGAGUAACUGCUCUGAGGGUGACGGUACUUGAGAAGAAAGCCCCGGCUAACUACGUGCCAGCAGCCGCGGUAAUACGUAGGGGGCAAGCGUUGUCCGGAAUUAUUGGGCGUAAAGCGCGCGCAGGCGGUCUUUUAAGUUUGGUGUUUAAGCCCGGGGCUCAACCCCGGUUCGCACUGAAAACUGGGAGACUUGAGUGCAGGAGAGGAAAGCGGAAUUCCACGUGUAGCGGUGAAAUGCGUAGAGAUGUGGAGGAACACCAGUGGCGAAGGCGGCUUUCUGGACUGUAACUGACGCUGAGGCGCGAAAGCGUGAGGAGCACAG